rnacentral:pre_miRNA from 1 species
GGAGUAUUCCAUCAGGUACUGGUUGAUUUUCCAUACCAGUACUUAUGUGAUACUCACA